UCGAAACGCAGCGUUUUACCCUGUGUGUCCGUUGAAGGAAAAUUCAAUGGAGAUUGAAGGCAAAAAUGGCUGGAGAACAGAGCUUCGAAAGGGUUCAAAGAAGGAGUUUGGACGAGGCUCAGGGUUUCCGACCACUGAUAGAACAGUAUCUCGCCACCACGUUACGUUCGAGCUCCACGAAGAUUCAGAAACUAGGGUUCGUUUCGUGGUCAUUGGGAAGAACCCCUUCUGGGUUCUGAGCAGCGGAAGUGGAGAAAUUAGGGUUUUCAGGAGGCAUCAAAGCGGUGAAAUGGAAAGUGGGGAUUCGUUCUGUGUUUCCUCGAAGAACCCCAUUUGGUUUUCUUUGAAGAGAACUGAAUUUCCGGAGAUGGGUCGUUGUGGGUUCGAGUCUCUCAGUGUUUCAGACGUUGACCCUGUGAAAGAGUUUGGUUUUAUCGUAAUGGGGCAUGAGUUUGACUCCUAUCCUAAGCGAAUGAUCCGUGAUAUGAAGAACUGGAACUGGUUUCUUGAGGAACCUAGUAAAGAUGGUGAAGAUGAUGAGGUUUCUGAGAAGAAGGGCACAAGGGGAAAGAGGAAGCAAGCAGAAGGCAAUGAUGAUGAUGACUGGAUGGGUGAGAGCGAUGAGGACAAGGAGUUAGUUGCAAAAAUCAGGAAGAAUCAGAGACCAAAAUAUUCAACAAGAUCAAAGGACUACAACAAGACACCAAAUGAUACCAUAAAUAGUAAAAAUUCUAUGAAGAAAGCAAGUGGAGAUGACAAAGAUGAUGAAACUGAAGAUGAAGACACACUUGGAGGCUUCAUUGUCAAUGAUGAUGAGGAAGAAGAAGACGAAGAAAGCGAUGAAGAAGAAGGAGAAGAAGAAGAGGAAGAUUAUGAUGAAGAAAUAGACGAGUAAUGACAACUAGGAUGAACAGAUGGAGAUGAUAGGAAGGAUGCAUGUAAUAUUGUAAAGAGCAGCUUGCAGGCUGAGAACUAAUUGGGUAAGCUGUUAUAAGCAGAAAAGAAGGCGAUGGAGGGGCAUCUUUUCCCCGGUAAUACAGAAACAGCAUGCUAAAACCCUAGUUUGAGAUGGCAACUCCAGCAACCACCACCAUCAUCAUCAUCAUCAUCAUCAUCAUCAUCAUCAUCCUCAUGCCUUAGAUCACUGAACUGAGCUUGAAUUUCCAGCUUCCGGGUUAUACCAGAGGCUCAUUUUUACCACCUCAGAAAGCAGAGGAUGUUCUAUAGAUUCCCAGAAAUCUCAAGUAUUCACCUGAAAUGUGGUUUUCAGGAUGUGAUCAGCAUCCCCUACACCUACUCCUUUGCAAUGAAACCUCAGCAUUAGAUUUUAGAACUGCAUUUCAUUUGACAAUGAAUUCUAGGUAACAUGUUUGAAGAAGAAGAAUGAACAAAUUUUUUGCUAUGAGGCUUGAUUAGAUUAUAUGAUAUGAAUAACAUUGAUUUUAAUUGUUAUG